GCACAAACCCGAGCCCUCCCAUUUCUUCUUCUUCUUCUUCUUUCUUCUUCUUCUUCGUCGUGUUGCCGAAACCCUUGGGAAACGGCGCCGCACGAAUCCUCCCCUCCCUUCUGCCAUUUCUUCUUUCUUCUUCUUCUUCUUUCUUCUUCUUCUUCUUCUUCCGCUCUCUCCCAUCUUUUCUUCUUCUUCUCUCUUCUUUCUUCUCCUUCUUCUUGUUGUUGUUGUUGUUGAACCUUGCGCCGCUAUUCACCCACCCUCGCGUGGACCAUCGGCCUCACCUCACCCUUUGUCUUUGAUUCAUGGGUUGCGCCGCCAUAUCCAUCUCCCGGAACUCACCCACCCUCACGCGGACCGUCGGCCUCACCUCACCCUUUGUCUUCGAUUCCCAUGGUUGAACCUGCUUUCUCAGUAAACAGGCACCAGCAAAUUGGAUGACAGAAAAGCAGCAAAUUUGACAAGUCCCUUUCAAAUGCAUAAACUGCAGUGCAGUUGGGUUCCAUGCAUUUUUAUCAAAGGUAAAGCAUGAUCAUGAGGACACGACCUCAAU